rnacentral:rRNA from 1 species
UACGAAGGUGGCAAGCGUUGUUCGGAUUCACUGGGGCGUACAGGGUGUGUAGGCGGUUUGGUAAGCCUUCUGUUAAAGCUUCGGGCCCAACCCGGAAAGCGCAGAGGGUACUGCCAGGCUAGAGGGCGGGAGAGGAGCGCGGAAUUCCCGGUGUAGCGGUGAAAUGCGUAGAGAUCGGGAGGAAGGCCGGUGGCGAAGGCGGCGCUCUGGGCCGGAACUGACGCUGAGGAGCGAAAGCGUGGGGAUCAAACAGG